CUGUGAGGUUAUUAAAGAAUAUUAAUUUUCAAAUCACGGUAAAAUCUUGAUUCAGCAACACAUGAGGAUAAUCAUUGUGUCCAUGGAAACCUUGGGAAGCAGUUGAAAGCCUGGUCCCUCUUGCCUGGAGCAUUAACACAACGUGGCUGCAAAGUUAGUCCUUUCCCGCUACCAUCUCCUGAAUACUGGGACUAACUACACGUAUGCACGAACCUGCCCAUCUUUGCCUCUGUUAACAGCUGCCACUGUCUCUUCACGACAUGAUGGCUGACCUAGGUUGGAAGGAACAGAGCCAGUUGGCCAUGGACUGAAACUUUUGGAACUGUGAGUAAAAAGAAACUUGCCCUUCUUUUAAGCUGUUUGUCGCUGGUAUUUUGUCAUAGAGACAGUAGUUACUCGCCAUAGUCUGGUUUCUAAU
rnacentral:lncRNA from 1 species